GCCAUGUCCUACCAACCCAAGAAACUUCAACCAGGAAUUACCAACAGGCAGAUUACAACAAUCAUUUUCCAAAUUAUAGUAACCAACCACAUUUUCUGCGAAUAUGAUUUUGGAUUCCAGUGCAGAAUACAGCAAAUUCCCUACUUGACGUUGCUGGUACUUCAUUAAACAGAGGAUGAGAGAUUUGACAGCUGGAAUUACUACAGGAAUCUUCAGAAGACCCCUGCUAUGCCCCUUAGAUGUGUAUGACAGAGUCAUUAAAUCAUUGCACACAGGUAAGCAGGUAUUUCAGAAAGCCCUUCAUUAGCUCUUACACAAGCCAGCUUUGUCUCCUCUUUCCUUAGAGAACUUUUAUACAAAUCUGACCUUCUUGUCCUUACUUAUAGUUUUGAUUGUAUUUUUUCUGAGUUAUCCCACAUUUGCAUUUCAUGUUAAAGACAAAAUGAAGGGAUUUAGGCACUUCAUGUGGGAGGAUAUGGAUCAUUUCUCCUAAACUUACACUAAAGCAGAAAAAGGGAAAGAGAGUAAAAGUAGGUUUGUUCCUGCCAGGAAGAAAAUGAAGUGUGCUCAAUCCUUAUGUUUUUCAUUCCAUGCAUCUCAGUGGGAAGCCCCUUACCAUAUAUCUAUGUCUAGUUUUGUUUGUGUUUAUUAGGGGUAGUGGAGAACCUUCUAAGCUACAUUUUGCUUGCUCUACCACUAAUGCUGCCACGUGGGCACUUAUUUAUGUAGCAAGGCAAGAGUCAUUAGUUUGGGG
rnacentral:lncRNA from 1 species